UUUAUCAAUAAUUUUGAGAAUAAUACUAUCAUAUUAUAACAAUGCCGCCAUCAUAGCCAUCAAAAUAAUUAUGAUUUUAGUAUCAGUUAACUCUAAAUUAUAUGAAAUGGGGCAAAUUUUCUAAUAUUUUAAUGAACAGAUUAUAAUCAAACUUUUUAUUUACCUCGACUUUAUAAAUUAAUUUUUCAUUUAAUUACUACUACAGUGCCAAGUUAGUAGCUAGAAUAAGAGAGUCUUGAU
rnacentral:lncRNA from 1 species